CAGUAGCCGCGGGAAUACGUAGGGUGCAAGCGUUAAUCGGAAUUAUUGGGCGUAAAGCGUGCGCAGGCGGUUUGUUAAGACAGAUGUGAAAUCCCCGGGCUCAACCUGGGAAUGGCAAUGGAUACUGGCGAGCUAGAGUGUGUCAGAGGAUGGUGGAAUUCCCGGUGUAGAGGUGAAAUUCGUAGAUAUCGGGAGGAACACCAGUGGCGAAGGCGGCGACCUGGGCCAACAUUGACGCUGAGGUGCGAAAGCGUGGGGAGCAAACAGGAUUAGAUACCCCCGUAGUCCCUGUCUCUUAUAC
rnacentral:rRNA from 1 species